rnacentral:lncRNA from 1 species
CUGGUCUACAGAGCGAGUGCCAGGAUAGGCUCCAAAGUUACAGAGGAACUUUACCUCAGAAAAAAAAAAAGAGUUCCAAGAGUCUGGAACUCAGGACUCGGAGGAUGUGUUGGACUGACUGAUGCUACAGAGCGUUGGGAAAACUGCAAAGUGGCUUCAGCUGCUGCCAACGAAGGCACUGCAAAUGCCAGGUCGAAGAAGUGUUGCUAGGGCGACGCUACAGGAACAGGAAGCCACUAGGAAUCAGCAAGUCCCCUCUUCCUGCGGCUGCUUUCCCAUCGUCUGCCCUGUACUCUUCCGGGCAGCACACAUCAGGAAGCGGCUGUGGUCUUCCGAGCCAGCUCCGGCGUCACACACACGGCAUGGAAGGCGGAUGUGGCAUUAAGAGGCAAUAGCUUCGCUAACAGAAAGACAGACUAACACAAGUGAAGGAAUGCUCAAACUUCCAGAGCUAAAGGAUACAGUUGAAAGGGCCAGAGAAGUGAGCCUGCUGGAAGAAAGGCCCCGCUUAAAACCACAGGGCCCCUUGGGGGCUGCAGAGAUGGUUCAGCAGUGAAGAACACCGGACUGCACUUCCAGAGGACCACGGUUCAAUUCCCAACACCAACAGCCUGUGACUCCAGCUCUGUCUGGGCCCAUCGGAAUGACUCCACUUCAUCUUGACUUAAGGUCAGAGAGUUCAAGCCCACAAUUGCUCUCUCAAGGUUAAACAACAGAAUGUUUGGCCUGAGGUGCUGUCAGAAAGGACAAGCAGAUCUGUGUCCACUUGGAACAGACGUUGGUGAGCACGCGUGAUCUUACCUCUGCUAUGAUGCAUCAAGGCCACUUCUCAGCUCUGCGCAGAUUCCAGCUCUGCAAUUGCAGAGAGAAAAAUGUCAACUCCAGAGGGCUGCUUUGAAAUUUUCCUAAAAUAAUGGCAUGAAGCACCUAGAUCAGUGCAUGGCCCAAGAGGGUCACUCAGACCCAGGCCGUCACCCUCCUCUUUCCCUGCCAAAGGCCUGAGCCAGCAUUGCCUAGAGGGAAAGGGACGUGGGUGUUGGUGCCUUGCACUGGUAGGUGCUGGUACACAUAACUGCUUUAAAUACAGCCGCCUCUCACUAUUCGGGGUAGUUAUGGUCUAUAAAGUCACCGCAAGAACUGACUUUGCAAAUACUGAAUCAUCG